AUUGAACGCUGGCGGCAUGCUUUACACAUGCAAGUCGAACGGCAGCGCGGGCUUCGGCCUGGCGGCGAGUGGCGAACGGGUGAGUAAUGCAUCGGAACGUGCCCAGUAGUGGGGGAUAGCCCGGCGAAAGCCGGAUUAAUACCGCAUACGACCUGAGGGUGAAAGCGGGGGACCGAAAGGCCUCGCGCUAUUGGAGCGGCCGAUGUCGGAUUAGCUAGUUGGUGGGGUAAAGGCUUACCAAGGCGACGAUCCGUAGCUGGUCUGAGAGGACGACCAGCCACACUGGGACUGAUACACGGCCCAGACUCCUACGGGAGGCAGCAGUGGGGAAUUUUGGACAAAGGGGGCAACCCUGAUCCAGCCAUGCCGCGUGCGGGAAGAAGGCCUUCGGGUUGUAAACCGCUUUUGUUCGGGAAGAAAUCCUCUGGGCUAAUACCCCGGGGGGAUGACGGUACCGGAAGAAUAAGCACCGGCUAACUACGUG
rnacentral:rRNA from 1 species